AUGCGAUUCCGUGCUGCGCUCGCCUGGGGGCCAGGCCUUGGAGGAGGCGAACUACGCCGGAAGCAGCUGCCGUGGGGUCCUCAGCGCCCUCUCAGACCGGCUGCAGCGGGCCUCCUGGUGCUUCUCAGGCUCCUACCGAGUCUGCGUCUCUGCGGGGCAGUGAACCUUGCCCAGAACCUUUUCCUCACAGCGCAGUUUGACGCAGACGAGCACGCUGAGGCCCAGGCACAAGUGACUGACUCAGACCCCCACAGAGGCCGACCCAGCGUGGAUGCCGUCUCCUGCCUCCCAUACCAUCAGUUUGUCCCUAAUGGAAGGGAAUCAAUGAUUCUGCUUCACUGAUCUCCAGGGAAAGCCAGUCGAUAACAGGUUAUAAACACGGGAACGUUUUGGAAAAGCUGUCGUCCACUUGUCGUCCACUUGUCAGCUUCAUCUCUCCUGCCCGGAAGAUGUAGGGAGAACCUGCUUUCAGCCCACCCUCAUCCCGUAACAGGACAGAGGACAAAGGGGCAGAGACCCAAGUCCUGUCAGUGCGCUCAGGAAACCCCCAGUUUCCUCCUCAUGGUGGAAGUGGAAAACAUCCUGCUGGACUAGAUCUUCCAGGGAAGCCCUCCACCCCGAAAGCAAGGAAUGUGGUUUGAGCACACGCACAUUCUUGGUGCCAUGAUUUUCUGCAGCUCAACUCUGCUUACGUGGCUCAUUAAUCUUGCUAGUCUGGUGUUACUGGGUCCUGGGAGUUUCUGUGGGCUGAUGACAGGUGUUUACCAUUGUGUAUAGAGAGAAGAAUAGAACUUUAUUGUGUCGAAAUCAAAUGAUAACCAUGGCCAUGUGAUUCCUUGGGUUGGUUGGGGCGGGGGUUGCUCAUAGCUUUUCCUGAGGGCUAAGUUCUUGUUUGAGACAGUCUCACUUUGUCGCCCAGGCUGGAGUGCAGUGGUGCAAUCUUGGCUCACUGCAACCUCCACCUCCUAGGUUCAAGCAGUUCUCCCUGCCUCAGCCUUCCAAGUAGUUGGGAUUAUACGUGGGUGCCACCACGCUUGGCUAAUUACAAAAAUGUUUAAUACAAGCUGGGUUUUGCCAUAUUGACCAGGCUGGUCUCAAACUCCUUGCCUCAAGUGAUCAGCCCAACUUAGCCUCCUAAAAUACUGGGAUUACAGGCUUUAGCCACUGCGCCCAACCCGAUCCUGAGACCUUUUAAAGCUGCCUUCAUGUACCAAAAGCCAGUCUAUGUUUGAAAAUGAGCCCUGAAGAGCCUAGGAGGAGAGGGAUGUACUUCAGCUAGGUAAAUAAUUA
rnacentral:lncRNA from 1 species